AGAGAGCUGUGGCUGCGCCUCUGGGGACGGCGGAGGCCUGGGCCCGUGUCUGCCAGCCAGUGUCCUACUCAUUUACUGUCACUACCCAGGGACAAGUGCCCACCGUAGGAAGACAAGGUUGCCGCACACUGUCGGUCACUGAAGCCCUGAGGUUCCCAAGCAUCCGGGGUGCGGGGGAGCUGACAACUGGGCUCUUGAGGGAACCUUUUAGAAAGCUGAGCCCGGCUGGCCUCUGGUCGACCCACAUGUCCAUUCUCUACUUUGGGAUUGUCACGACUACCGAAUCCAUUAACUGGACUAAAAGUAAAAGCCAGUGGGAGCACGAGGGCCUUGAAAUGUCUAAGCACCCGCAAGGCCGAGCUGGCUGAUUACUGCUGAGAGGAGGGUCAGGAGAGCACUCUGGGCCUCCGCCCCCUCCCAGGCCCAGCGGAUGCAAGGCCUAGAAAUAUAGAUACUGUCUCUGCCUGUCAAUAAUAAAAGCUCGAGUUUGAAAUUCAGUUAUCUGAGGAAGCCAGGGACAGGUCAGGGAGUAAUCAGGGCACCCCAGCCCCCAGCUGGGGAUGUGGCGCAGGGGUUCCGAGCCCCUGGAGCCUCCCGCCUUCCGACCACAUCGAGCACACUGCGAGCAGGCACUGGUGCUCGCCAGGUAAAGGCUGGGCAGACAGACGGGAGGGCGCAUGGCACUUGAUGGCAUUUUAUUGUUCUUACAGAUGGAAGAAAUUUAGUAGGAGCCUGAAACUGCGGGACCUCCAGACUGGCCGGAUGGCAUCGUCUCCUGGACUUACCUUGUGAUGUGACUCUCUUGAGAACUCAAGUCUCCCGAGUGAAGUGCUCUUUCCAAGCCAUACACAAUGGCACCAACGUUGAAAGUAGUAGUCACAGCUAAGGUCAUGGACUUCUGUUUCCAGAGCUUUCCACACACCAGCUCACGUGAUCCUCACAUUGACCCCCAUGAGGCCUCCCCAAGCUCUAGGGCCGAAGAGACAUCCAUCCAUCGUGGUAUGAGAAAGAAUUUGACACAGCCUGAAAAAGAGCCAAGAAAAAUGACUUAAACGUUGCACAUGUGUGAAGAAAGCAUCAGAGUCAACUUAUUCAUGGUGAAGGAGAAGGGUUAAGACAAUGUUUCCCAAACCUUCCUGCUCUCAAAUGAUUUACUUCGCAACCGAGGAAAAGGCAAGCUGACUGGCUACUUGACGUAUACCUAUGAAUGGAACGUAUGUAGAAUAGGAAAGGGUAAUUAUAAGAUUUUUUAAACUGCCUUGCAUUUUUAAAUAAAUUGUCCUCCUCCACAUUGGGGGUGGACAGAGGACAAGGCAAAUGCCAUUUAAAUACUAGUUGUCCGUAAAUGGGAAAUGACAAGGUGAAAUUGGAGUUAAUAUAGUGGUAGAAUGACCAUAUCCUGUAUAUAAUUUUGUCAUUGCUCUUGUCAUUCUGUAGGGAACUAUUUGCUGAGUGUUUUUCCUGCUGACCGUGAGCUUCGUAACAGUAGCAACCACUGCCUUUUCAUCUCGCUGUUCCGGUGCCAUGUCCUUGUUGAUUUUACUUAUCAUAAAUAAUGGCCACCAUUUUUCUGUUAAUUAAAGACAAAUUUGACCCCCUUGAAAAUACCUGUUUGUGAAUUAGAGUUGAGCCAGAGUGCCUUCAUUAGUCCUCUGUCAGUUGUAAGGGGCAGAAUUUUAACCCAAAUUGGUUGAAAUUAAUUGUGGGUCCUAUACACGCUCACAGAAUUAAUACAAAUUUUAUGGGAAUCAUAAAAAUCAGCUCCAGCAGUGCCUGGGAUUGGA
rnacentral:lncRNA from 1 species